CUGAAUGCAUUAGUCUCCCACAACUCGGCUGUUUUCAACACUUAGCUAGGUAGUCUUCGAGAAAAAGAGCAAAACUCAUCUUCUUCUUCUCAAAGUAGAACCCGCGGCCAUCUUCUUCUCUAAAAGAAUCGAUCGAACCCAACUUCUUCUCGAAACCCAUCUUCUCAAAACACCAUCUUCUGAAAACAUUGUAUUAGGGUUCGAUCUACUAAAUUAGGGUUUUCAAUUUGGGGAUUUGAAUGAGGAGGAAAAAGGGAGGGGGUUUCUCGGGCGGAGGUGAGCCGUUCCGAUUAUGGCCUAGUCGAUCGAGCUAGGCGUGAGGAUGAAAAUCGGCCGACUAGGCGGGCUGGGCGGCCAUGACUGGGCGCUGGGCGAUCGGCGACUAGGCGUUCCGUCCCUUUUUUUUUUUUUUUUAACUCGUCCUAAAAGGCUAAAACGCGAUCUGACCUAAAACUAAAGCUCGCCUCUCUCUCUCUCUCUCUCUCUCUCUCUCUCUCUCUCUCUGUGUCUCUCUCCGGCACGGCCGCACGAUGCCUUUUCUUUCUUCGACGGUGACGCCGUGAUGGACUGAUGGUGUGCGGUGAGUCUGGGUUUCUGUUUCUCUUAAUUUCUGCUUCUGGGUCUUCACUCUUCAAUCGAUUUAUGGCUUCCUCUUAAUUUCUGCUUCUGGAUAUUAAAUGUUCAGUCUUCAAUUUCCACAAGCAGAGUAAAUAGGAUGAGUAGGAAGAGAGUUUUGAUAGCUGGAGGCACAGGCUAUUUGGGCCAGCAUGUAUUGCAAGGCUUUUCAGAGAUUCAAGAAACCACUCCUUGUGAUCUGGCAUUAACCCACCACUCAAGUCCUCCUCCCCAAGCUUUGCUCAAUGCAUUUCCUAGUGCGAUCCCUUUCUCUGUGGAUUUGAAGUCUGGCAAUGGAUUUGAAGCCAUUUCUCAUCUGUUUGGUCCGGUCAGUUCUCACCCCAUUAAGCAAUUUCUUGUAUAUGUUGAUUGUGAUUAGUGAUUUUAUAAUGUUGGUGCUAUGAUUUGGAGUAAUGGGUUUUGUGGAAAGCUCAAUUUUGUUUACUGGGCUUGAAUUGUUUGAAUGCGCUCUGUUCACCUGUUGUUUGUACCUUAGCUGCAAUGUUCUAGCUUUAAUGGGUUUUGUUUUGUUGUUGUAUUAGAUAAUUACUAUUCUUUGGUUCCAAUUUUUGGAGUUGAGACGUGUGCAUUAGUAUGGUUCUGUAAUGUGCUUGGGGAACUUACAAUCUCUGAACAUGCUAAAACAGUCAAGUAAGAUGUGUACAAAUACCAUUAGUUGUUUAGGGGAACCCUACAAUAUCUUAAGUGCUAAAAGAACUUACCUUCUGGUGCUAAAAGAUCAUCGUCCAAAUCCUCUGCUUGAAUUGGUCUGUUUGUCAAGGUCUAUGCUUUAUUCCUAUCAUUCAUCAUUAAUUUCUGCUACCUCUCUAUUUGGUUUCCCAGAAUAAAUUAACAACUUGAAGAAAGUUUAUUGAUCUGGGUAAACAAUAUUGAUUUCAUUUUGAGGUGUUAGAUUGAGAUAAAGUUUAGAUUUUUUUUGUUGUUCUCAAGUUGGUUUUGGUUUUUGAGUUGUAGCGAGAUAUCCAAGUCCUAAUAACAACAAAUCUUGGUCGAAAUUUACAAGGGAUUCUAAAAGUGGGUCUUGGAGUUGGAAUAUUGAAGCUAGAGUUAAGUUGGAGUAUUGCUAGGAGCUUAACUGGUAAGGUUUUCUCUCAAAAUUGAUUCUUUGUAUUGUUUAUAUUCUUUGUAUUCCUUCCAAGCUAAAGUUAAGGUUAACUGAUAUGAAUUUGUGAUAUUAUGAUGGUUUGAUAUUACUGUGGUUAAUUUGGAGUUUUAAUUGUUUGAUAUAGAUUAGGGACGGAUUCAGUUAUGAUUUGAUUCUUUUGUGCUUAGUAUUCUGUGUAAUUUUAGGUAGAUCUGGAAUUUCAAAAUGCAGAUUGGCAUAUCUUUCUAUCGUGAUAAGGAGGACGUUGCCGACUAAAGAAUAGAAGAGGGGGAUGGGAAAAAAAGAAAGAGGACAGAGAGGAAGGAAGAGAAAAGGAAGAGAAAAAACAAGAGAAGAGAGGGAGGAGGAGAAAAGCAAGGGAAUUAGGGAGAAAGAAGAAGAAGAAGAGAAAAGAGGGAGCACGGGAAAGAGAGAAAAUAGGGAAAGAAAAACAGAGGUGAUUAGUGACUUUUUAUGGUGGGUUUAGAUUUAAGAAGAAGAAGAGAUUGAAGAUUGAGAUAAUUUUGGUUGUCGGUUGUAUAAUAUAGCAAUGGGUGGAAGUUUGGCCAUUCAUUUUUGAAUGGGUGAGGAGGAAGAACUAGUUUAAGACAGUGAGUGACUUUUAUAUAUGAAAUUAUGCUUUUCUUGAUUAUUUUUACCGUUUUCAUUAUGUCUUUCUGAAAUUGGUCUUGUGAUUGCGAGUUGAGCUGUAUUUGAACUUUUGGUGUCACCUCUAAUUCAUGCAAUUUUGAAGUGAGACAAAGAUCAGACUGGGAUUGACAGGAUUUGGCGUAUUUUUCUCACUCCUGGGAAUGGUUUUUUUUCUUUGACAAGGGAUUACUUGCAAUGGGAAAUAGCAGUGGAGAUUUUGGGGCUAAUGUGAAGCGCCUUGAAGUGGAAACUGAGGAAAAGAUCAAUCACCUCUCAACAGAGGGCUCAAGGAUAUCAGGUGAUGUUGUCCAAAUGCUUCUGAAGCAUGUGACGACAGUGAGAAAUUAAUUCCAUAGAUGGUACUUAGGCUGCAAGUCUUUUGUCUCUAAAUUACUGGAAUCUCUUUGGAAACAUUUUGAGGCUCGAAUUCUCUCCUCUCCCCCAGAUUGUCUCGUCUCUUCACUCAACCUGCAAAACUUCCCUCUUAUUUACACACGUCAAAUUCCCUGACUACAAAUCAGGCAAGAUAUCGGUUCACUUCUGCUCAAAUUUGAAAGUGGGUUGGUUUUGGGCUCUUCAUGGUUUGAUGCAACAUCUCUCUGUUCUCAGAUCAAGAGAAGGACCUGGUUGGACGAUUCAUGAAUGUAUUUAUGAAUGUCAAGAUAUCAAGGUUUCCUCUUAUUUAUUGUGGAAUUCCAUUUGAAUUCCACUGGAAUGUGUUUUAUUAUGUGAAAUGAAGAGAUCUGGAUCAUAACUUCUCUACAUUCUUGUAAAAUGUCAAUAACAGUUCAUAUGCAGCUAAGUAAAUAUAGUCACUUGACCCAAUUUCUCAUAACUUUGUUAUCAUGUCCAUGCCUCAUUCACCAAAAUGAUUAACUAAUCCUUUUGAUAUAAUAAACUGAUUUCAGUGGGAGAGGAGAGGCAGCAGCCAAUACACCCAAGCGGAUAUUGAUCAAGUGCGAAAUGAGUGGGGGAAGUUUGUUGUCAACACAUGUGCAUAAGCCAUGAAGUAGCGCGCUUGUUGCUGGUACAUUUUUGCUAAAGAAAGCAUAUUUUUUGUGCUUCUCUGCUGGUACAUUGUCAUGCACCAUGUGUGGCAUGUUUUGGAACAAUAGAUAUAUAUGUAUCAGCUUUUUGAUGUCCCAAGUAGAUGGGCAUGCACUAGAAUGCUUUUCUUAUUUGAAAUGUUGGCUUUAAUGAUUAGUGGUUUGCAAACUUUAUAUUUGAUGGUUUGCAAAGUUUAUA